UGGCGGACGGGGGAGUAAUGUCUGGGAAACUGCCUGAUGGGAGGGGGUAACUACUGGAAACGGUAGCUAAUACCGCAUAACGUCGCAAGACCAAAGAGGGGGACCUUCGGGCCUCUUGCCAUCGGAUGUGCCCAGAUGGGAUUAGCUAGUAGGUGGGGUAACGGCUCACCUAGGCGACGAUCCCUAGCUGGUCUGAGAGGAUGACCAGCCACACUGGAACUGAGACACGGUCCAG
rnacentral:rRNA from 1 species